GAGGAGACUCUCCUCAUCCAUAUUCGUUCUCUCUUUUUCUCUUUCUAUAUCUCGCCUUAAAACAACGCGUCAAAGCAGCCUCGCACGAUACCACCGUUGUAUCUAAUCUCCCCGGCAUAACGUAUGCAACGCGACGAAUAAAUAUUGUACCCCCGAAGGGAAUACUUUCGGUGUGGGUCGAUGUAUCGGCUAUUAAUAUCGUUCGCUCCGGUUAGUGUUAUUCGGAGUCUCCAGUCGCUCGACGAUACAAACGCGCUGUCUUUCCCCGGAAAUAUCCGAAAAGAUCGCACCGAGAAAUUGAGAGGAGACAUGCGAUUCCAAUCGCCGAUGAUUUUCCUUCUCUGCGCUGUCUCGCUCGCGAUCGCGCGACAAGUCGAGGACUGUCAAAAGGAUGUCGACGACGACGAGCUGAUCUGGGAGUAUGACGUCAGAAGACCGCACCGAACCGGUGGUUAUCAACUAUUGACAGUUGUAUCGAUCUAUUCACGAAUACAUUUCUCGAUUGUAACCAGGAAGUAGAGGCGGAUUACGGUCCGACGGACGUGAGAAUCACAUGCAUAAGAUACAACUCGUUGUCUGAUGAAGAUAACAGCGCGAUAUGGAUCACUUCCGGCGGAAUCGGACACGAUUUUGUCAAGCUAAAAUUCAGAUCGAAAUAUUCGCGAGGCCUUCACUACAGAGUCUUCGUUUACGGACAGCCAACUUUGAAAAGAAGUUCGCUAUCUUGAUGAUUAUUCUCUCAGAAAUCUUCGUAAAUCUCACCGUAUUUAAUCUCCUCUCUCACUCUUAUUUUAUAAUUAUAGAUACAUAUUUAAUCUGUUUGUGAAUGUUUUAUUUUUGUUUUAACAUUGUUAUAAGAUAUAUAUAUUCGUGCAAAGAAUUUAA